rnacentral:rRNA from 1 species
CGUAGGGUGCAAGCGUUAUCCGGAUUCACUGGGCGUAAAGUGUCGUGUAGGCGGUAUACCGCAUCGUAUCUGAAAGCCCGAGGCUUAACCUCGGCGUUGGAUACGAGAUGGGUAAACUAUGAGGGUUGGAGAGGAAAGGGAACUCGUGGUGAAGCAGUGAAAUGCGUUGAUAUCACGAGGAACACCGAAGGCGAAGGCACCUUUCUGGCCAACUUCUGACGCUGAGACACGAAAGCUAGGGGAGCGAAGCAGAUUAGAGACCUGCGUAGUCCUAGCCCUAAACGCAUGUCUGCUAGAUGGGCCCCCGCAAGGGAGCCUGUCGUAAGCUAACGCGUUAAGCAGACCGCCUGGGGAGUACGAGCGCAAGCUUA